rnacentral:rRNA from 1 species
UACAGAGGUCUCAAGCGUUGUUCGGAUUGCAUUGGGCGUAAAGGGUGCGUAGGUGGCGCGGUAAGUCGGGUGUGAAAUUUCGGAGCUUAACUCCGAAACUGCAUUCGAUACUGCCGUGCUUGAGGACUGGAGAGGAGACUGGAAUUUACGGUGUAGCAGUGAAAUGCGUAGAGAUCGUAAGGAAGACCAGUGGCGAAGGCGGGUCUCUGGGCCGAUACUGACGCUGAGGAGCGAAAGCGUGGGAGC